CGGGGUAUAGCUCAAGUGGUAGAGUGCAUGCCUAGCUUGCACGAGGUCCUGGGUUCAAUUCCCAGUACCCCCC
rnacentral:tRNA from 1 species